rnacentral:rRNA from 1 species
CGUAGGGUCCAAGCAUUAUCCGGAUUGACUGGGUGUAAAGAGUUGCGUAGGUGGCAGGGUAAGUAGAUAGUGAAAUCUGGUGGCUCAACCAUUCAGACUAUUAUCUAAACUGCUCCGCUCGAGAGCGUUAGGGGUAGCUGGAAUUUCUAGUGUAGGAGUGAAAUCCGUAGAUAUUAGAAAGAACACCGAUAGCGUAGGCAGGCUACUGGGACGUUUCUGACACUAAGGCACGAAAGCGUGGGGAGCAAACGGGAUUAGAUACCCU